GUCUUCUGGAUUUCUGUGGUGGAAGGAGCAUCUCGUGUCUUCUAAAGAUGGUCCUGACAAGGAGAGAAGCACAGGCCUGACUUUAUUGCACGACCAUGCCAAGCCCUCUGGGAUCUCCCAUUAUUGAGGAAGGUUUUUUAAUAUAGCGAUGAUGUCCACAGCGCAGGGGGCACACCUGAU